UCUGAAUUCGUCGCAAAUUUUGCGCAUACCGGGAGCAAAGAUGUUUACAAGCAAAAAAAAAAAUCCAUAUGUGCUGCGUAAACAACCCCAAAGCUUGGCUUAUUAUCUCUGGCGCACGCUCGUUUACCGCCGAAAAAAAAAAACAGAACUGUCCAAAGUCCAACCAGGAGGACCUUGCUUGAACUAAGUACAACUAACUUUAUAAUCGUUUGACGUCAAUUGAUUUGCCGCGCGAGACACAUUUUUGCGGUGGUGGAGAAGAUUUCCUUAGUAGCAGCUCGGAAGCUUAUC